CAAGUGUUUGUUUUUUUCUGAGGGGAAUACUCUCAACAGACGCAGCAAUGCAGCUCCAAUUGCAGCAAAUGGCUCUGGUUUGUUCUGGGUGAACACAAACGGAUGGUCAGAAACCUGCUGUGUGCAGAGGAGCGACUGUCAGCCUAUGAGUCCACCUUCCUGGGGCUGCACGACGACUGCAGGGCUUCAUUUCCCACCGUGGCCCACUGACAUCUCAGCUCACGCAGCUUUUGCACCACUUCCUUAUUGGAUUUGGAUCGCUCCGUGUUCUAUCUGCAUUUCUGGUUGGAUUGCUGACUGGAGGGUGUCAGUGCCUUGACUGGUUGCAGAGUGGUCUGUCACUGGCGUGAGCUGCACAUACUGGACUUGGAUAUCGCUGCCUUGCAGUGGGGAUCCAUCAACUCCUCCCGAUGCAGGCUCGGCAGAUGCAACAGCUAUCAGCUGAGCGCCUUGCAACACCUGCCCAUCCUGCCCAACGUGCACUUGAUGUAUCUGCAGGUUUCCC
rnacentral:lncRNA from 1 species